rnacentral:misc_RNA from 2 species
GUACUCUCACACUCCCAAUGCUUUUGGAUUGGGAGCGGUGGACUUGGGUGUUGCUGCUUUACGGUGGCUCGCCUCAAAUGGAGUAGUGCAACUCUUGGUUGGACAUAGUACGGCGUGAUAAGUGUCUUCGCCGGCGCCUCACUAGAGGGUGGCUGAUCAGGAGCUCUGUGCUUCAAACCGUCUUCGGACAAUCUCUGACA